AGCGGAGCUCCCUCUCCGCGGAGCGUGAGGAGGGUGGAACCACCUCCAGGCUUCUUAGCGUGUCCUCUGGGAACCAAUCCCCAGCGUCUCCGACUAGGAGGUCAACGGCAGGAGUGGACAGAGUCAGAGCGCCGGCCUCCUGCUGGCCAAUCCUGAGGGUUCCCGCACCGGCGUGGCCCGCCCCUCGUCCCGCUAUUCCGGGAUAUGUAUCCCGCAGCGCGCAGCGCCGCCAACCGCCGAGCGGUGGCGCGCGGUGCUCGCUAAAGAAGGCGGGAAGGGCGGUGCUCGCACCCCCAGUGAUUGGCAGGAGGGAGUGGGGCGGAGAUAAAGAGGGUUUUUUGAGAGUUGAUUGGCUGGAUUGGUAAUGAAAGCGGGAGCCUAAGGAGGCUCAGCUGGGGAUUAGUUGGAGAGAAGCGGAAGUGGGAGUUACCCUGGUGCCGGGGUGUGUGAAGAGAGAGGAGGAGCGUUUGCGGCCUCAGCGUCUGUUCAACAGAACCUCUUCACCUGUGGUUAAAUCCUGAGCUCAUGCUCCCCUCCUGGUGGACGCACACCUGACCGUUGAAGGCCUGCAGCACUCACUGGGGGCUUGAGGGAGCCCAGAGUCCCCUCCACCCUCGCCUCCUUCUCCUGGGUGCCCAGGAAAUGUCUCCAAGGGAGGCUGUGACCCAGGACCCCGGCUCGACCUCACCUUCUUCUGUAAGGCGCAGUGAAAGACGAAGAUGAAGACCCCCUGGAAGGCGUUGAAGGUGGUGAAGAGAUAGGCCAUGACCACUGACUCCUUAUUGAUAAAGAGGAGGCCGAAAGCCCAGGUGAGACCCAGCAGGAACAGCAGCGCGAUGGCCCCCAGCGCCCAGGAUCUGAGGGUGGAGAGAUGGGGUGUCAAAGUACCCGCCAGAGGGGAUGGCCUCAGCCUAGGCCUCCCUUGCAGCCUAUAAGGGGGGGCCGCUGGGUGGGCCUGGGCACUGUCUGCAAAGCCCUAACCGAGCAGGGUGGGCGAGUGGGCCUUGGGGGCAGUGGCCUGCCCAGGACGCCUCCACCCUAGCCUGGGCCUGAGGGAAAGGUAUUGGGUCAGGGGUUGGGGUUUUGUGAAUAUCAGUCAUUCCUCUGCCAACUUUAUUAUUUUUGCCCAAUUUCCAGACCACUUAGGCUACAUCUUGCUGCCUAUUUCUCUUUAAGUUGCCCUUAAACAGACUUACCUUUUGAA